CUAAAUGAUUUUUAAUCUUAUCCAUACUUUCUAGAAGUCCAGUUGCCAUGAUUCAACUUCCAGAUAACAGAUUAAAUGUGGAUGAAAAACCCUGAUCAACAAGAGUAACCAUGCCCAGAUCUGAGUCAGCUUGGCCAUUAUGACACAUCUUCCAUUGUGACAUCACAGCCCUGCCUGCUUACAUGUCAGAUGAGCAGAGGUAUCCUCACAACCCUGUGCAUCAGUAUUAGUGCUGAUACUCCAUGAGAGCAGUUUUUUCUUGUUUUUUUCUUGCUGCUUUUGGAUCACUUUUAUUGCUGUAGUUUGAAUGCUACUUAUAGGUGCUGAUAAUUUGUUUUUUAGUUGUUUAGAACUAUUGAGUAAUUUUGAUAUUAUUAUUUGCUGUUUAUUUCUGUAAAAGAGAGAAACAUGGGUAAAAAGUAAGUAUGUCUUUUAUAUGGCUUGUAUAAUCCAGCAGCCUAAAUUAUAAUAUUAGUACUGGUGGAAGUGGUAAACCCUGUUUCUCACCUUCUCUCCAAACUAUGAGUGAUCUUCUUAUGAAAAAUGACAGCAAGAGUUGCUCUUGUUUUUUCAAAAAAGAAUCUGUGAAUGAACAGAGAAGAGAACAUGGCAACCCACUUCCCAACGUUUCCGAAGAAGACAACCCAUUCCCCACAACCCCUGAAGGAGAAAAAGACAACCCAUUGCCCAACAUCCCUGAAGAAGACAACCCACUUCCCAAUUUCCUUGAAGAAGAUGACCACCCACUCCCCCAAAUCCCCAAAGAGAAAGUGCCAAUGGGUACAGAGUUUUAUGCUUGGAUGUUGUAUUCUGUAUGUUCCUGGCAGUGGGAAACACUCUUCUGUCUGUAACUGGUCAAAUGUUUUGUCUGAACCUAAUCCAGGGCUAAUCGUGAGGCAAAGGAAGAUGUCUGUUUCGGUUAGCUGAUGCUCUGGGGGGCACAGAGGUGUUGAAACACAGAGCUAUUUGUAUGAGGGAGCCUGCUCUAUGCUCCCUAAGUUAGCCUGCUGCACUCAGCUGUGGUGGAACAUGUCCCAUCGUUAGCAUUAAAGAA
rnacentral:lncRNA from 1 species